ensembl:lncRNA
ACCACCCAACAUAAUGGGAGUUCAGAAUAUAAAUUAAAAGGAAUUCCCUGGUGGUCCAGUGGCUGGGACUCUGCAUUCUCACUGCCAAGGGAGCUGGUUCAUUUCUGGUCAGGGAACUAGGAUCCCACAAGCCAGGGUGGUGCAGCCCAAAAAACCCACACCAGAGUCUAAGUUAAAUUUAAUCAUGGAAAAGUAAGAAAGGCACUGGUAUUCUGGGGUUGGUGAGCCAAGAGUUUACACAAAUCAGGUGUCCCAGGUGCAAGCAACAGCAAACAGCUCUGGCUCCUUCAAGCAUUCUGGGGCUUGAGGAGCUCAAGGAACCAUCUGGAAGGUUGGAGAGCCAGGCCUGGCGAGUGGGCAGGCAUAAAGGCCUCUGCCAAAUUCAGGUGACAAGAAGAGUUCAGAGAGGACGAGAGUGCAGCAGCCAGUGAGCCAAGGUGUGCCGCAGCUCAGACCUCCGCCUCUGCUGGCCCUGGGCAAUGGUGCUGCCUUUGGUACCAACACUGGCCUCCAGAAGCCUACUGCCGCUUGUGCCAUCCCCCAAACACAUCCUCCACAGCCCCGGCUUCUGCAUAAUGUGGCUCCCUGGUAAAACUCUCAUACACGUGCAUUUAAUUGGUCAAGUCUAGAUCACAGGCUCACACCUGAGCUGCAAACAACCUGGGAAGGCAAUUACUUUAUCUCUGAAGCUCCUGAAGCACCAGGAGGGCCCUACCUCUCCCUAAGACACAUAUAAUGGGAAAAUUUCCAAAGAUUGGAUGAAGAGUCUAACACUGGGCACCAAAAAGUGACAAAUGCCACCAUACCUGCUACAAAAACUGGACCAGGCACUGUGUAAAGAAAAAACAAGACCGAGACAUGGCCUUUGUCCUCAAGGAAUGACUUUGAGAGUGGAUAUAUCUUAGUAUUGUUAGCCCUGAUGUUUGAGAGAGUAAACAUUCAGCAAAUGUUUGCUAAAUAAAUAAAAACAAGUGAACAAUCUGCCUUGGACAAAUCAAAUGACCCUUUGCAGGCAGGAGACUGGACAAAAUAAUACUCCAGGACCUUCAAGCAAGAGGAUUCUUAGAACGGAUGAUCUUGCCUGAGAAUCACUGAGAACCACAGUGGUCUUACAGAGACUAUGAACCAGAAGCUAGAGUAAAACUGCACUGAUGCACACAACCUUAACAAAAGCCAAAUAUUAGAUUUUGUAAAUGGCUCCACCUAGAAAACCAGUUCAAAUCAACUCAAAAUCCAAACAUCUAAAACAAAUGAACGGGAAUGAAAUUUGUUCUGAGUCCCUACUUACAGCUGAACUUUCUUAUCUUUUAGGCCAAAAGCCCAAUGUCAUUAGUUUUGGUCAUACACUGGCCUCUGGGGCCAUGCUGGGCUCUGUCACAGCAUACAUCAGCAAUAAUUUUUUAAAUGUGUUCUCCCCAGCUGCCUACCUCUGAGCUUGAAUCAAUUUCCAGUCACAGUUUGCACAUUUCAUGCCAAAAGACUGCAAUGGGAGUACUGAUGUUUAGUGUGAAAUUAUUUGUUCUGCAGAGCUUUAAACAUAGGUCGUGGUCCUUCUCAUACAAGAAGUCCUUCCUGAUCAAAUGAGAAAAUUUGUGAGAGUACCAACCUCCCCGACCGCUGUGAUGACUGAUGGAGAUACUGCACAUGAAUGAUCGAAGACAGAGCAUGGCAUGUGCUGAAUACUCAGCUAAUUAUGCUUCUCUCUUUUUUUUUUUUUCAAGUAAAGAAACUCACAUUCAGAUGGCCCCCCAUUUACCAUGAAUGUGUAAAACCUGAGCUUGUCUCUGGUUCUGCCUAGGAAAAGAAUGGGAAUUUCCUUGUUCCACAUCUGGAACGAAUUACCAUUUCCCAGAGAUCUGGACGGAUGUGCUUUUUUAAGCUACCUUUUUCUUUUUUUAAUUCCUACUAUGUGUCAAACAUGUUAAAUCAAGUGAAACUGUGUGGUCUUUCCAUUCCUCGUGGUGGUUCCAGGCCUGGAAAACAGAAGGUGGGCAGAAGCUCAAGCAGCUGAACAGAAGGAGGGGAAGGAGCUGGAAGGAGAAGGGACAGCCUGCUGGAGGCGCAGACAGCCAUGCUCAGAUUCAUCCUGCCAAAGUUUAUUUCUAUCUGGCUGGAGUUUCUCAAGCUUCAAGCUUAACAAGCUCGAAAUAAUAACAAUUCCCGUAGCUCAGCACCUUACCUAGAGAAAGACGCUUCUCAAAUAUCAAGGACCUCUCAUACCUAAGAUGAUUGUGGCUCUUCAAAGAGAAAGACGUGCCAGGUAACAGGCGUCAUCAAAUUACAGACUGAUGUUCCCUAAAACCCUUUUGAGAUUCUGAUGAACACAGUAUUGUGUGCCCUCCAAAAAAAUAAUCAUGCCAUAGACACAGAGUUGUGCAUACAAUUUUGGGGAAGGGGAGAUUGCAGUCCUUGAAAGGAGCCUGAAGACCUUUCCAGCUAAAACCCCUACCUAAGCCAUGGUUGCUGCUCUUUGUGCAGAUAUUUGUGUAUCAGCACACAUGUGCAAGCACAAGAGUAUGCACACACACACACACACUGCUUUGUCAAUCAUUUCAUUUUCCUAUCGAGAUCCAAAAGCUGAAUAAAUUAACAUUUUCCUGGCAGCAAAGUGGAGCCAUGUUUUGUCUAGAGAUUACACAGAUUAAAUCAUCAAGCGCCAUAAUUCACUCCCCAAUAAAGGUAGAAAGAUAGACAAGAAAAUUUGGAUAUAGCCAUCUAAGCCCCCAACAGGAAAUUGUAAAUUCACAAAUCAGGAGCAUCCUGGCCCACGGAAAUGCCCAUGUGCUUCAGUCUCCCUCCUGGGAAAAGUGCUUCUCUGAUCUAACUGACAUUGUUCAGAGAAAAACACAUCUUCCGUGGAAUGAGACUUUAAAAAAAAAACUGUACAGUCAGAAUGACUAGAGCCGCUUGGGAACCACUAAUGAUUUCAC